GACGAACGCUGGCGGCGUGCUUAACACAUGCAAGUCGAACGGAAAGGCCCUGCUUUUGUGGGGUGCUCGAGUGGCGAACGGGUGAGUAACACGUGAGUAACCUGCCCUUGACUUUGGGAUAACUUCAGGAAACUGGGGCUAAUACCGGAUAGGAGCUCCUGCUGCAUGGAGGGGGUUGGAAAGUUUCGGCGGUUUGGGAUGGACUCGCGGCUUAUCAGCUUGUUGGUGGGGUAGUGGCUUACCAAGGCUUUGACGGGUAGCCGGCCUGAGAGGGUGACCGGCCCCAUUGGGACUGAGAUACGGCCCAGUCUCCUACGGGAGGCAGUAGUGGGGAAUAUUGCACAAUGGGAGGAAGCCUGAUGCAGCGACGCCGCGUGCGGGAUGACGGCCUUCGGGUUGUAAACCGCUUUCGCCUGUGACGAAGCGUGAGUGACGGUAAUGGGUAAAGAAGCACCGGCUAACUACGUG
rnacentral:rRNA from 1 species